rnacentral:tRNA from 2 species
GUAAGCAUAGUUUAACAAAAACUCUAGGUUGUGAUCCUAGAAAUAAAGAUUAAAACUCUUUUGUUUACC